rnacentral:rRNA from 1 species
UACGAAGGGUGCAAACGUUGCUCGGAAUCAUUGGGCGUAAAGCGCACGUAGGCGGCUUGGCAAGUCGGAUGUGAAAUCCCUCGGCUCAACCGAGGAAGUGCAUCCGAAACUGCUGAGCUUGAGUACUUAAGAGGAUCGCGGAAUUCCCGGUGUAGAGGUGGAAUUCGUAGAUAUCGGGAGGAACACCAGUGGCGAAGGCGGCGAUCUGGGAAGAUACUGACGCUGAGGUGCGAAAGCGUGGGGAGCAAACAGG